CAGAAAGAGUCAAAGAAUUGCGAUAUAACUAUGUGCAAAGAGUCCUUGAGCUAGAGGUGGCUGCAGUGGAGCACCAGUUCAUCUUCAUUGAUGAGGUUGGAUUCAACCUC